GACGGGGGAUGCAAGUGUUAUCCGGAAUCACUGGGCGUAAAGCGUCUGCAGGUGGUUUCCUAAGUCCACUGUUAAACCUUGAGGCUCAACCUCAAAUCUGCAUUGGAAACUAGGAGACUUGAGUAUAGUAGGGGUAGAGGGAAUUUCCAGUGGAGCGGUGAAAUGCGUAGAUAUCUGGAGGAACACCGGUGGCGAAGGCGACAUCCUGGACCGGUAUUGACGCUGAGGCGCGAAAGCCAGGGGAGCAAACGGG
rnacentral:rRNA from 1 species